rnacentral:lncRNA from 1 species
GCCGGAUAUACCGCCACAGACUCACCCCAUAAGAGCCUCGACUCUCGACUGAACACCAUCCCCCCUCCAUAACACCAUAUUUUGCUUUUAUAAUUUCUCUCCAAAAACCCCCUCUCUCCGUUCCAAAUCGCCACAACCACUUACCCAACAAAGCUUUAUUAAACAGUACGAGACUCCUCAAUCCGAGACCACCCAACCUCAUGGGAGAACAUACGAUACCCCAGUUAACCAAAUGUAAUUUCCUCUCCUGCCCUAAUCCUCCUCAAAGAAAAUCCCUUUGGAUUCUCUAGAAACGACAUGAAGUAAGUAGGGAGGUUCGACAAUGUGGACCUUAUGAGAGUAAGAUGACCUCCCUUUGAGAGGUACAUACACUUUCUUCCGCUUUGAUAACUUCAGAUUUUCCCAGAUUAAUUUUCAAUCCAGAUACAACUUUAAAGCACAAGAGCAAACGUCGCAAAUUCCUGAUUUGCUCUACCUCUGCAUCACAGAAAAUCAAUGUGUCGUCUGCGAAGAGCAAAUGAGAUACCUGUAACUGCUCAACCAUAAAGCCCUUUAGUAAACUCUCCCCCAUGGCCUUCUCGAGCAUCUUACUGAAAGCCUCCAUUACAACGACAAACAGCAACGGAGAUAAAGGAUCCCCUUGUCUCAAUCCUUUGCUACUACCAAAAUAACCCUCCGAAAUGCCAUUCACAAUAACUGAAAAAGAAACUGUGGAUAUGCAAAAUUGAAUCCAUUUACACCACUUAUCCCCAAAGCCACAUCGCCUGAGCAUAUACAAGAGAAAUCUCCAAGUUACGUGAUCAUAAGCUUUCUAAAUGUCAAGCUUACAUAGCAUUCCAGGAACACCCAGGCACAGUCUUGAGUCAAUGCAUUCGUUUGCUAUAAGUACUGAAUCCAAAAUCUGGCGUCCUUUAACGAAAGCAUUCUGAAACUUGAACACCACUUUUCCCAGCACCUCCUUCAAUCUAUUUACCAAAAUCUUAGCAAUAAUCUUAUAAACACCGCUCACAAGGCUAAUAGGACGAAAGUCUUUAAUAUCCGUCGCUCCCGGUUUCUUUGGAAUCAGCACAAUAAAUGCAGCAUUGGCACUUCUCAAGAACCUUCCACAUUGAAAGAAAUAAGUAAGGACUUCGACAAUGUCCGAUCACACCACUUCCCAACAAGUCUUAUAGAACGAGAACGAAAAUCCAUCCGGUCCUGGCACCUUAUCAUCGUUCAUGCUGAACACCCCCUCCCUAAUUUCAUCCUCCCUAAAAGGCCUCUCUAACUAGCUGGCAUCCUCCUCAGAUAUAGAAGAAAAUUUAAGCCCUUCCAAUUCUGGCCUCUAGUCAAACUGCAUCUGAUACAGGUUCUGAUAGAAGCUUACCAUCUAGGUCCCGAUCUCCUGUGGAUCCUCAAAGGUAACGCAAUCUACCUUCAACAUAUUAAUAGAAUUGUUGCGCCUA